rnacentral:rRNA from 1 species
GUCCAGACUCCUACGGGAGGCAGCAGUGGGGAAUAUUGGACAAUGGGCGAAAGCCUGAUCCAGCCGUGCCGCGUGUGUGAAGAAAGUCUUCGGAUUGUAAAGCACUUUAAGUUGGGAGGAAGGGCAUUAACCUAAUACGUUGGUGUCUUGACGUUACCGACAGAAUAAGCACCGGCUAACUCUGUGCCAGCAGCCGCGGUAAUACAGAGGGUGCAAGCGUUAAUCGGAAUUACUGGGCGUAAAGCGCGCGUAGGUGGUUCGUUAAGUUGGAUGUGAAAUCCCCGGGCUCAGCCUGGGAACUGCAUUCAAAACUGACGAGCUANAGUAUGGUAGAGGGUGGUGGAAUUUCCUGUGUAGCGGUGAAAUGCGUANAUAUAGGAAGGAACACCAGUGGCGAAGGCGACCACCUGGACUGAUACUGACACUGAAGUGCGAAAGCGUGGGGAGCAAACAGGAUUANAUACCCUGGUAGUCCACGCCGUAAACGAUGUCAACUA